CAGAUAAAGAAAAAUGGCAACUUUAUGCUUUAAUGGCAAUGUAAACUAUCUAGAAGGAACAUUUAUCAGUUCAACAAGAAUUGAUUUUCUUCACUCUCAACUCCUAUGAACAAGUCUUCACUUUCUAAAAGCUUUCAACUCUAGCAUCUUUCUUGGACUGGACUGUGGAUGUAACGUCAGCUUUCCCUGAUGAACUGGAAUUACCAACCUGAGACUUUUGAACACUGCUCUAAGAAUGCUGAACCCAAGAAAGAUGGCAAAGGAAUCUGAAAAGCUGUGAAAAUAUAGAUCUCAUUAACCAGAGAAAAAUGUAUUCAAACAAAAAUUCCUGAAGUUCUUCACUGCAGGGAGCAUCCUACUGAGCUGUCGAACAAAAACCUCCUAUCCAAGGGAGCACAGGUCAAUAGAAGGCAUCACCUUAAAUGACAAGAGGAGGAGGAAGAGGAGGAGGAGAAGGAAAAGGAGAAAAAAAAGAAGAUGGAGAAGAGAAGUAGGAAGAAGAGGAAAGAAAGAAAAAGAAAUAAGAGAAGGACAAGGAGAAGAAGGAGGAAGAGAGAAAGAAGAAGGAGAAGAGGAAGAGAAAAAAGGGAAGAGGAGGAGGUGGUGAAAAGAAAUAGGAAGAAGAAACAAAAAUAAGAUCACAAUAA
rnacentral:lncRNA from 10 species